GAUGAACGCUGGCGGCGUGCCUAAUACAUGCAAGUCGAGCGAACGGACGAGAAGCUUGCUUCUCUGAUGUUAGCGGCGGACGGGUGAGUAACACGUGGAUAACCUACCUAUAAGACUGGGAUAACUUCGGGAAACCGGAGCUAAUACCGGAUAAUAUUUUGAACCGCAUGGUUCAAAAGUGAAAGACGGUCUUGCUGUCACUUAUAGAUGGAUCCGCGCUGCAUUAGCUAGUUGGUAAGGUAACGGCUUACCAAGGCAACGAUGCAUAGCCGACCUGAGAGAGUGAUAGGCGACACUGGAAGUGGGCCAGGGACCAGGCUACUACGAGAGGCAGCAGUAGGGAACCGUCGGCAGAGGUCGAAAGCAUGACGGAGCAACGGCACGUGAGUGAUGAAGAUCUUCGGAGCGUAAAACUCUGUUAUGAGGGAAGAACAUAUGUGUAAGGAACUGUGCACAUCUUGACGGUACCUAAUCAGAAAGCCACGGCUAACUACGUG
rnacentral:rRNA from 1 species